rnacentral:rRNA from 1 species
GAUGAACGCUAGCGGCAGGCCUAAUACAUGCAAGUCGAACGGUGUCUUCGGACAUAGUGGCGCACGGGUGCGUAACACGUAUGCAACCUACCUUACAUUGGGGGAUAGCCUUUCGAAAGGGAGAUUAAUACCGCAUAAGACAGUAGCUGGGCAUCCAGCAGCUGUUAAAGAUUUAUCGAUGUAAGCUGGGCAUGCGUCCAAUUAGCUAGUUGGUGAGGUAACGGCUCACCAAGGCAAUGAUUGGUAGGGGAACUGAGAGGUCAAUCCCCCACACUGGCACUGAGAUACGGGCCAGACUCCUUCGGGAGGCAGCAGUAGGGAAUAUUGGGCAAUGGACGCAAGUCUGACCCAGCCAUGCCGCGUGCAGGAUGAAGGCGUUAUGCGUUGUAUACUGCUUUUAUACAGGAAGAAACGACUCUUGCGAGAGGCAUUGACGGUACUGUAUGAAUAAGCACCGGCUAACUCCGUGCCAGCCGCCGCCGUAAGAC